AGUGGCGGACGGGUGAGUAACGCGUGAGAAUCAGCCUUCAGGUCGGGGACAACAGAGGGAAACUUCUGCUAAUCCCGGAUGAGCCUUAGGGUAAAAAAUUUAUUGCCUGGAGAUGAGCUCGCGUCUGAUUAGCUAGUUGGUAAGGUAAAAGCUUACCAAGGCAACGAUCAGUAGCUGGUCUGAGAGGAUGAGCAGCCACACUGGGACUGAGACACGGCCCAGACUCCUACGGGAGGCAGCAGUGGGGAAUUUUCCGCAAUGGGCGAAAGCCUGACGGAGCAAGACCGCGUGGGGGAGGAAGGCUCUAGGGUUGUAAACCCCUUUUCUUUGGGAAGAACAAAAUGACGGUACCAAAGGAAUCAGCCUCGGCUAACUCCGUGCCAGCAGCCGCGGUAAUUCGGAGGAGGCAAGCGUUAUCCGGAAUGAUUGGGCGUAAAGCGUCCGCAGGUGGCAAUGUAAGUCUGCUGUCAAAACCCAGGGCUCAACUCUGGUCAGGCAGUGGAAACUACAUAGCUAGAGUUCGGUAGGGGCAAAGGGAAUUCCCGGUGUAGCGGUGAAAUGCGUAGAGAUCGGGAAGAACAUCGGUGGCGAAAGCGCUUUGCUAGACCGAAACUGACACUCAGGGACGAAAGCUAGGGGAGCGAAUGGGAUUAGAUACCCC
rnacentral:rRNA from 1 species